CAGCCGAUAUGCACACACUCUCCCAGGAAUGGAUCCGAUCCCAAAGCAUGUGCGUGCAUGCGUGUGUUUGUGUGUGUGUAUGCACGUGUGCAUGCGUACGCAUGUGUGUAAACUGUUCAGGGAGCUGGAACUUGCCCCUGGAAGAAAGACAGACAAUCCUGUCUUUCUAUGACCACCCUUAUGUCGUAAUGGCUUCCCUUGCUCAUGUCAUGACUUUCCAAGGAAAAGGAUCCUUCAAUCCAAAAAUCAACCCAGCCUGGCAGAGCCUAAAGCAGGGUUCUGGGCCCCAGACUCAGACCUGUAACCCAAACUCUGUCCAGGGUCUGCUUUCUCCUGCUGUGAAGCGGAAUGACGUCUGUACCGUCUGUCAGCUUUCCAGGCAGGAUAUAAACACGAUCAGGAAAAGCCAGGCAUGUGUGUGAACACCUGAAUCUCAACACUU
rnacentral:lncRNA from 1 species